rnacentral:tRNA from 1 species
GGGCCCGUAGUCUAGUCUGGUUAGGACACCCGCAUGGCCUAAAGUCGCCCUCACACGGCGAAGGUCUCCGGUUCGAGUCCGGACGGGCCCACCA